GGUUGAUCCUGCCAGUAGUUAUAUGCUUGUUUCAAAGAUUAAGCCAUGCAAGUCUAAGUAUAGUAUUUCUAUAGCGAAACUGCGAAUAGCUCAUUACAACAGUACUAAUCUACACAAGUUCAUCUAGAUGGAUAUCCAUGGUAAUUCUGUGACUAAUACAUGCUAUUGUCUCGUCGACAGCAUACACGAAUCAGCUGCAGUAGUCUUCGGGCUUUUCUUACGAUAAAAAUGAUAUGCGAAUCGCUCCUCGCGAUGACUUGUGCGAGUUUCUUACCUAUCAGCUUCUGUCGGUA
rnacentral:rRNA from 1 species